rnacentral:rRNA from 1 species
CACCUCCCACCCGUGUUUAUUUUCCUUGUUGCUUCGGCGGGCCCGCCUUAACUGGCCGCCGGGGGGCUUACGCCCCCGGGCCCGCGCCCGCCGAAGACACCCUCGAACUCUGUCUGAAGAUUGUAGUCUGAGUGAAAAUAUAAAUUAUUUAAAACUUUCAACAACGGAUCUCUUGGUUCCGGCAUCGAUGAAGAACGCAGCGAAAUGCGAUACGUAAUGUGAAUUGCAAAUUCAGUGAAUCAUCGAGUCUUUGAACGCACAUUGCGCCCCCUGGUAUUCCGGGGGGCAUGCCUGUCCGAGCGUCAUUGCUGCCCUCAAGCACGGCUUGUGUGUUGGGCCCCGUCCUCCGAUCCCGGGGGACGGGCCCGAAAGGCAGCGGCGGCACCGCGUCCGGUCCUCGAGCGUAUGGGGCUUUGUCACCCGCUCUGUAGGCCCGGCCGGCGCUUGCCGAUCAACCCAAAUUUUUAUCCAGGUUGACCUCGGAUCAGGUAGGGAUACCCGCUGAACUUAAGCAUAUCAAU